rnacentral:rRNA from 1 species
CCUACGGGAUGCUGCAGUGGGGAAUAUUGCACAAUGGGGGAAACCCUGAUGCAGCGACGCCGCGUGAGUGAAGAAGUAAUUCGUUAUGUAAAGCUCUAUCAGCAGGGAAGAAAAUGACGGUACCUGAGUCAGAAGCCCCGGCUAACUACGUGCCAGCAGCCGCGGUAAUACGUAGGGGGCAAGCGUUAUCCGGGUUUACUGGGGGUAAAGGGAGCGUAGACGGCAGUGCAAGUCUGGAGUGAAAGGCGGGGGUUCAACCCCCGGACUGCUCUGGAAACUGGGAAGCUGGAGUGCAGGAGAGGUAAGCGGAAUUCCUGGUGUAGCGGUGAAAGGCGUAGAGAUCAGGAGGAACACCGGCGGCGAAGGCGGCUUACUGGACUGUAACUGACGUUGAGGCUCGAAGGCGUGGGGAGCAAACAGGAUUAGAUACCCGGGUAGUC